UACAGAGGUCCCAAGCGUUGUUCGGAUUCACUGGGCGUAAAGGGUGCGUAGGCGGUCGGGUAAGUCUGAUGUGAAAUCUCACAGCUUAACUGUGAAACUGCAUUGGAUACUAUUCGGCUUGAGAGUUGGAGGGGGGACUGGAAUUCUUGGUGUAGCAGUGAAAUGCGUAGAUAUCAAGAGGAACACCAGUGGCGAAGGCGAGUCCCUGGACAACUUCUGACGCUGAGGCACGAAAGCGUGGGGAGCGAACGGG
rnacentral:rRNA from 1 species